rnacentral:SRP_RNA from 1 species
GCCGGGCGUUGUGGCGGGCGCCUGUGGUCCCAGCUACUUGGGAGGCGGAGGCAAGAGACUCGCUUGAGCCCAGGAGUUGGAGGUUGCUGUGAGCUGUAAUGCCACGGCACUCUACCCAGGGGGACAGCUUGAGGCUCUGUCUCCAAAAAAAAAAAAGAUGACAUUGAUUUGAUGGUACAUUAUACUUAAUAAUAAUUAAAUGCUUAGUAUUACAGUUUUUUCUUCUUAGUUCACCUUUUUUUUGUUUUGUUUUUUUUUGAGACAGAGCCUCAAGCUAUCCCCCUGGGUAGAGUGCCAUGGCAUCACAGCUCACAGCAACCUCCAACUCCUGGGCUCAAGCGAGUCUCCUGCCUCAG